AAGCUCGUAGUUGAAUUUCGGGAUCAGACUGUCGGUCGUGCCUCGGUACGCACUGGCAUUAUUGGUUCCUACCUUCUGAAGAACCGCGAUGUCAUUAAUUUGGUGUCGCGGGGAAUCAGGACUGUUACUUUGAAAAAAUUGAGUGUUUAAAGCAGGCUUACGCUUGAAUACAUUAGCAUGGAAUAAUGAAAUAGGACGUUUGAUUCUAUUUUGUUGGUUUCUAGGAUCGACGUAAUGAUUAAUGGGAUAGUUGGG
rnacentral:rRNA from 1 species